rnacentral:piRNA from 1 species
CUGCUAGCCAGGAAUCCAGAGCAGA